rnacentral:rRNA from 1 species
UACGGAGGGAGCUAGCGUUGUUCGGAAUUACUGGGCGUAAAGCGCACGUAGGCGGACUCUUAAGUCAGGGGUGAAAUCCUGGAGCUCAACUCCAGAACUGCCUUUGAUACUGGGAGUCUUGAGUUCGGGAGAGGUGAGUGGAACUGCGAGUGUAGAGGUGAAAUUCGUAGAUAUUCGCAAGAACACCAGUGGCGAAGGCGGCUCACUGGCCCGAUACUGACGCUGAGGUGCGAAAGCGUGGGGAGCAAACAGG